rnacentral:tRNA from 1 species
GGGCGCUUAGCUCAGCUGGCGAGAGCACUUCCCUUACAAGGAAGGGGUCGUGGGUUCGAGUCCCUCAGCGCCCA